ACUCCCUCAUCAGAUCGCUCUCACUCUCUCAGGUCUCACCCUCUUCCUCUUCCCUUCUCCCUUGCCGGUGUCGCUCUGUGCUUGGUUCUCACAGCGUUGGCGCCGCCUGCACUCGUGUUGCCUCUACUCCGCAAAGACAAAACUGCUCCAGCCAUGCCUCUGCCAUCAUCAUCUUCUUCAGAUCUGACAUCACCAGCCAUGCCUCUGCGUCUAGAGGAGAGGAGAGACGUCUUCAUGCUGCGCGCCUGAGGAAAACCGUCGCAGUUUUCAUCACCAUCCAGAGGAGAGUUGUCUUCGUUGUUGCCGUCAUAGAAGCGAGAUCUGCCUUCGUCCCCGUCCAGAGAAGAUCGUCCUUCAUCGCCGUCAGAGGAGAGCCGCUGUUGCUCACCUUCCUCCUCUCACUGCGUCGCUCACUGCUUCCUGGUCGAAGCUUCACAUCUGGUCCGCCUUUGCUUUGCCGUUUUAAUGUAUAUUUUGAUUUUUAGUUGAUGAAAUUCCUUUGGUUUGAAUUCUAUUACUGUGAAAU
rnacentral:lncRNA from 1 species